GAGAGAGAGAGAGAGAGACGGUCAUUCUUCUCGUCUGGUCGAUCGCCGCCUAUCUCGAUCGUGCUUCCAUCUUGUUCUUCUGGGAUUCUUUUCCCCGCAUUCUCUUCUUACAGCGCCGCCGCUUCGGCUUCGGCUCCCAAUGUCUCUCUGGCCCUCUGCUACGAGAAAUCGUGCCGUAAUAUUGCCAACAUCGUCGUCAAUUACCUCGGCGAGAUUGACGCCGACCGCCUCCUCUCCAUCGUCGGCAACGCCAGGAGCCGGAACGGCACCAUGUCCUGCUGGCUUGAAUUAACAGUAUGGAGCACAAACAGAUUCUCUGAAGCCCCCUCAGAGAUACAUCUAUUGGGUAGUGGUGGAUGGACAUCCACUUUAUGAGAGCAAGGAAAAGCUGGCCCUCCAUUUCCCUGCUUUAAAUUUGAAUCCAAGAAUGGUAAGCCAAGGAUUAUGAUAACUCCGAAGCUGACAUUUGCAAAGCUUCUACUGGGGAGUCGCCAAAAGACCUGCUCUGGAUUGACCCUCCAUACCCAACCGGGAAAAGGAAUCAAAUAGUCUUAUGCUCAUGAGAUGAUCAUUUCAGAAUGAUAAGAUGAAGACAAGAAUGGUACUGAUUGUGGUGGGUUAUGCCCUCCAAUGUUCCCCAUCAGUAAUGAAAUUUGUAGGCUCACAACAUUGGUGGAUCUCAAGGAUUGUACCUAUGGUAAAGAAAGAAAAAGAUGAGAAGGAGAGGCAUCAUAUUAUGGAAAA